UACGAAGGGGGCUAGCGUUGCUCGGAAUCACUGGGCGUAAAGCGCACGUAGGCGGCUUUCUAAGUCAGGGGUGAAAUCCUGGAGCUCAACUCCAGAACUGCCUUUGAUACUGGAGUGCUGAGUCCGGGAGAGGUGAGUGGAACUCCGAGUGUAGAGGUGAAAUUCGUAGAUAUUCGGAAGAACACCAGUGGCGAAGGCGGCUCACUGGCCCGGUACUGACGCUGAUGUGCGAAAGUGUGGGAGCAACAGG
rnacentral:rRNA from 1 species